ACUGAACAAAUGGACAAGUUCAUAGCGACGUCGCUUUUUGAUCCUUCGAUGUCGGCUCUUCCUAUCAUUCUGAAGCAGAAUUCACCAAGCGUUGGAUUGUUCACCCACUAAUAGGGAACGUGAGCUGGGAUUAGACCGUCAUGAGACAGGUU
rnacentral:ncRNA from 1 species